rnacentral:misc_RNA from 1 species
GAUGAAGAACGCAGCGAAAUGCGAUAAGUAGUGUGAAUUGCAGAAUUCAGUGAAUCAUCGAAUCUUUGAACGCACAUUGCGGCCAUAGGUAUUCCUUUGGCCAUGUCUGUUCGAGCGUCAUUUACACCCUCAAGCCUAGCUUGGUGUUGGGCGCCUGUCCCGCCGUUUUCGCGCGCGGACUCGCCUCAAAGUCAUUGGCGGCGGUCGUGCCGGCCCCCUCGCGCAGCACAUUUGCGCUUCUCGGAGGCCCGGCGGAUCCGCGCUCCAGCAAGACCUUUCACGACUUGACCUCGGAUCAGGUAGGGAUACCCGCUGAACUUAAGCAUAUCAAUAAGCGGAGGA